rnacentral:tRNA from 1 species
GGGGCUUUAGCUCAGUUGGGAGAGCGACACGCUGGCAGUGUGUAGGUCGGGGGUUCGAACCCCCCAAGCUCCACCA